rnacentral:rRNA from 1 species
UACGUAGGUGGCAAGCGUUGUCCGGAUUUACUGGGCGUAAAGAGCGCGCAGGCGGUCGUUCAAGUCGCGUGUGAAAGCCCCCGGCUCAACUGGGGAGGGUCACGCGAUACUGAUCGACUCGAAGGCAGGAGAGGGUAGUGGAAUUCCCGGUGUAGUGGUGAAAUGCGUAGAUAUCGGGAGGAACACCAGUGGCGAAGGCGGCAUCCUGGACCGGCAUUGACGCUGAGGCGCGAAAGCCAGGGGAGCAAACGGG